CUACAAAGGUUCCAUCUCUCAUAGCAGGUGGAAUGUAACUCAAUGUGUUACCUUUUUGAGAGCUCCUAUUCUUCUGCAUGGAAGCCUUUUUCCUUUCUUCUCCCCCUGGAUCUACUACAUCUUGCUGGAUCUGAGCUGAAUUUGCUUGUGCUGAGAAUUGCAGUCGCCUGUGGAUUAGUAGUUGCUCCGCGGUUUCCUUCACGUGUGUUUACUCUUCGCA
rnacentral:lncRNA from 1 species